rnacentral:rRNA from 1 species
AACGAACGCUGGCGGCAUGCCUAACACAUGCAAGUCGAACGAGACCUUCGGGUCUAGUGGCGCACGGGUGCGUAACGCGUGGGAACCUGCCUUUAGGUUCGGAAUAACUCAGAGAAAUUUGAGCUAAUACCGGAUGAUGUCUUCGGACCAAAGAUUUAUCGCCUUUAGAUGGGCCCGCGUUGGAUAGCUAGUUGGUGGGGUAAAGGCCUACCAAGGCGACGAUCCAUAGCUGGUCUGAGAGGAUGAUCAGCCACACUGGGACUGAGACACGGCCCAGACUCCUACGGGAGGCAGCAGUGGGGAAUAUUGGACAAUGGGCGAAAGCCUGAUCCAGCAAUGCCGCGUGAGUGAUGAAGGCCUUAGGGUUGUAAAGCUCUUUUACCCGAGAUGAUAAUGACAGUAUCGGGAGAAUAAGCUCCGGCUAACUCCGUG